rnacentral:rRNA from 1 species
AACGAACGCUGGCGGCAGGCUUAACACAUGCAAGUCGAACGCCCCGCAAGGGGAGUGGCAGACGGGUGAGUAACGCGUGGGAACGUGCCCUUCGCUUCGGAAUAGCCCCGGGAAACUGGGAGUAAUACCGAAUACGCCGUAUUGGGAAAGAUUUAUCGGCGAAGGAUCGGCCCGCGUUAGAUUAGCUAGUUGGCGGUGUAAUGGACCACCAAGUCUACGAUCUAUAGCUGGUCUGAGAGGAUGAUCAGCCACACUGGGACUGAGACACGGCCCCGACACCUACGGGAGGAAGCAGUGGGGAAUCUUGGACAAGGGGCGCAAGCCUGACCCAGCCAUGCCGCGUGAGUGAAGAAGGCCUUAGGGUUGUAAAACUCUUUCGCCGGAGAAGAUAAUGACGGUAUCCGGAGAAGAAGCCCCGGCUAACUUCGUGCCAGCCGCCGCCGUAA